CACGAUGAUGAUCAAUAUGACGACUAGAGGUCCACCCACACCUACCAAUACCUGCCAGCCAGCCAGCGACAGGCUGAAGACUAAGAGCGGAAAAAGGAAGAAGCAGCAGAUGAUGUAGACAGCAGCAAACCAGCGCCACCUGUCCCUUCAGCAUGGAGUUGAGCAGCUUGACGAUGAGGACCAGACAGGAGCAGAGCACCAGCAGAGAGAGAGCCAGCAGGAUCAGACCCACAAACAGAAAUGUUCUUCAGUGUGAAGGUGUAGUUGCCAUCCACCCAGCAGAGAGACGGAGAGGUGCAGUUCUCUGGACCAGGAACUGUAACGUUCAUUAAGGUCUGAAACACAGCGGCAAUUUGACUAUAAAGACUUGAAUUUCAAUGUGUUUGGAUAUUUGGUAUGCAGCGGACGUGUUUUGGUCUUACUGUGUUGGUGAAGGUUUGGCACCAUUUCUUGACGAGACUCUUAUUCCUGGCUUCUGCGUCUCCAGUGGCAAUCCCACUAAGGACAGAUUCAUCCAACUAAGUCAAAGGGAAAGAGAAGGAAUGUGGAGGUCAACCAUGUUGAAGAUAACAAUGUUAUAAAUUGCAUCUUAUUGCUCUAUAUAGCUACAUGACUACUGUCUGAUGGAUGAAAUAUGCCUUACAACACAAUGUUGUAUGAUCGUUCGAUGAUGUAGAUGAUGUAUAGCCUACUGUAAUUCCCUCUGGAUAAUUUCAGCUAAAUGUUGACAUCCUAUGUUAAAGAUAAAGUCUCCCAGAUAUUUGUAAUAUCAAUCACAUCUAAAGAUGUUAAAGGUA